GUUCAAGUAACUCAAUUGGUAAGAGUAACGGAUUGAAAAUCCUUGUGUUAGUGGUUUGAAUCCACUUCUUAGCA